UACGUAGGGCGCAAGCGUUGUCCGGAAUUAUUGGGCGUAAAGAGCUCGUAGGCGGCCUGUUGCGUCCGCUGUGAAAUCCCGGGGCUCAACCCCGGACCUGCAGUGGAUACGGGCUGGCUAGAGGCAGGCAGGGGAGAACGGAAUUCCUGGUGUAGCGGUGAAAUGCGCAGAUAUCAGGAGGAACACCGGUGGCGAAGGCGGUUCUCUGGGCCUGUACUGACGCUGAGGAGCGAAAGCGUGGGGAGCGAACAGG
rnacentral:rRNA from 1 species